rnacentral:rRNA from 1 species
UAGGGAAUCUUCGGCAAUGGGGGCAACCCUGACCGAGCAACGCCGCGUGAGUGAAGAAGGUUUUCGGAUCGUAAAGCUCUGUUGUAAGUCAAGAACGGAUGUGAGAGUGGAAAGUUCACACUGUGACGGUAGCUUACCAGAAAGGGACGGCUAACUACGUGCCAGCAGCCGCGGUAAUACGUAGGUCCCGAGCGUUGUCCGGAUUUAUUGGGCGUAAAGCGAGCGCAGGCGGUUUGAUAAGUCUGAAGUUAAAGGCUGUGGCUCAACCAUAGUUCGCUUUGGAAACUGUCAAACUUGAGUGCAGAAGGGGAGAGUGGAAUUCCAUGUGUAGCGGUGAAAUGCGUAGAUAUAUGGAGGAACACCGGUGGCGAAAGCGGCUCUCUGGUCUGUAACUGACGCUGAGGCUCGAAAGCGUGGGGAGCGAACAGGAUUAGGAUACCCUG